rnacentral:lncRNA from 1 species
AACUAUAUUCCAAACCACUAAAACACUAAGAAAUACUACAAUGCUUCCUCUCAAUAACAAUACUCCUUCAUCAACUGAUAACCACAAUGUGCAACCCUGCACUCUCAAAAGACCGCUCAAAACUCAAUAAAUUCCAUCCAAUACUAGGAAUAACAGAUUUUACUCCAACCAAUCUAAAUUCACAGAAUUCUUGUAAUCACAGACUUCUUCUGUCGAAACACACACACACACAACUGUCAAUAAACAAUAAUCAUAAUCUUCCAUCCAUAAUCAAUCUUUCAAUAACUUCUCAUAUAAUUCAAUCACUCAGUACUCCAAUUAUAUAAUCAAUAACUCAUAAAUCAAUCUCUGAUUUAUUCCACAGACUCACUUCUCAGUAUUCAGAAACUAUCCAUUAUUCUUCAACAACAAAGAAAACAAAAGAAACAAAGAAGAAGCACCAAGCUUAACCCCGGCUCAUGACUAUCACAGUUUGGCAUUUUCUUCCUCUCUCCCAUCCUCUUUAUACUAUCUCGAGAUACCAACUCCUAUACUAUGGAUGAUGACUACUUUUUUUGACUAUUUAUCCAUUCUAC